rnacentral:rRNA from 1 species
GUGGCGGACGGGUGAGUAACGCGUAAAGNUNUUGCCUUACAGACUGGGACAACAUUUGGAAACGAAUGCUAAUACCGGAUAUUAUGACUGAGUCGCAUGAUUUGGUUAUGAAAGCUAUAUGCGCUGUGAGAGAGCUUUGCGUCCCAUUAGUUAGUUGGUGAGGUAACGGCUCACCAAGACGAUGAUGGGUAGCCGGCCUGAGAGGGUGAACGGCCACAAGGGGACUGAGACACGGCCCUUACUCCUACGGGAGGCAGCAGUGGGGAAUAUUGGACAAUGGANCCAAAAGUCUGAUCCAGCAAUUCUGUGGGCACGAUGAAGUUUUUCGGAAUGUAAAGUGCUUUCAGUUGGGGAAGAAGUCAGUGACGGUACCCAACAGAAAGAAGCGACGGCUAAAUACGUGCCAGCAGCCCGCGGUAAUAACGUAUGUCGCAAGCGUUAUCCCGGAUUUAUUGGGCGUAAAGCGCGUCUAGGCGGUUUAGUAAGUCUGAUGUGAAAAUGCGGGGCUCAACCCCGUAUUGCGUUGGAAACUGCUAAACUAGAGUACUGGAGAGGUAGGCGGAACUACAAGUGUAGAGGUGAAAUUCGUAGAUAUUUGUAGGAAUGCCGAUGGGGAAGCCAGCCUACUGGACAGAUACUGACGCUAAAGCGCGAAAGCGUGGGUAGCAAACAGGAUUAGAUACCCUGGUAGUCCACGCCGUAAACGAUGAUUACUAGGUGUUGGGGGUCGAACCUCAGCGCCCAAGCUAACGCGAUAAGUAAUCCGCCUGGGGAGUACGUACGCAAGUAUGAAACUCAAAGGAAUUGACGGGGACCCGCACAAGCGGUGGAGCAUGUGGUUUAAUUCGACGCAACGCGAGGAACCUUACCAGCGUUUNGACAUCCCAAGAAGUUAACAGAGAUGUUUUCGUGCCUCUUCGGAGGAACUUGGUGACAGGUGGUGCAUGCCUGUCGUCAGCUCGUGUCGUGAGAUGUUGGGUUAAGUUCCCGCAACGAGCGCAACCCCCUUUCGUAUGUUACCAUCAUUAAGUUGGGGACUCAUGCGAGACUGCCUGCGAUGAGCAGGAGGAAGGUGGGGAUGACGUCAAGUCAUCAUGCCCCUUAUACGCUGGGCUACACACGUGCUACAAUGGGUAGUACAGAGAGCUGCAAACCUGCGAGGGUAAGCUAAUCUCAUAAAACUAUUCUUAGUUCGGAUUGUACUCUGCAACUCGAGUACAUGAAGUUGGAAUCGCUAGUAAUCGCAAAUCAGCUAUGUUGCGGUGAAUACGUUCUCGGGUCUUGUACACACCGCCCGUCAACACCACGAGAGUUGGUUGCACCCCUGAAAGUAAACAGGCCUAAACCGUAAGGAGGGAUGUUCCGAGGG